rnacentral:rRNA from 1 species
UACGGGGGGGGGCAAGCGUUUGUUCGGAAUUACUGGCGUAAAGGCUCGUAGGCGGCCAACUAAGUCGGAUGUGAAAUCCCCAGGCUUAACCUGGGAACUGCAUCCGAUACUGGAUGGCUUGAAUCCGGGAGAGGGAUGCAGAAUUCCAGGUGUAGCGGUGAAAUGCGUAGAUAUCUGGAGGAAUACCGGUGGCGAAGGCGGCAUCCUGGACCGGCAUUGACGCUGAUGAGCGAAAGCUAGGGGAGCAAACGGG